rnacentral:rRNA from 1 species
GCUAAUACCGGAUAACAACAGAUGAUGCCUAUCAACUGUUUAAAAGAUGGUUCUGCUAUCACUCUUGGAUGGACCUGCGGUGCAUUAGCUAGUUGGUAGGGUAACGGCCUACCAAGGCGAUGAUGCAUAGCCGAGUUGAGAGACUGAUCGGCCACAUUGGUACUGAGACACGGCCCAAACUCCUACGGGAGGCAGCAGGC